rnacentral:rRNA from 1 species
GACGAACGCUGGCGGCGUGCUUAACACAUGCCAGUCGAACGGAAAGGCCCUGCUUUUGUGGGGUGCUCGAGUGGCGAACGGGUGAGUAACACGUGAGUCACCUGCCCUUGACUUUGGGAUAACUUCAGGAAACUGGGGCUAAUACCUGAUAGGAGCUCCUGCUGCAUGGUGGGGGUUGGAAAGUUUCGGCGGUUGGGGAUGGACUCGCGGCUUAUCAGCUUGUUGGUGGGGUAGUGGCUUACCAAGGCUUUGACGGGUAGCCGGCCUGAGAGGGUGACCGGACACAUUGGGACGGAGAUAAGGCACAGACUCCUACGGGAGGCAGAAGGGGGGAAUAUUGCACAAUGGGCGGAAGCCUGAUGCAGCAACGCCGCGUGCGGGAUGACGGCCUUCGGGUUGUAAACCGCUUUCGCCUGUGACGAAGCGUGAGUGACGGUAAUGGGUAAAGAAGCACCGGCUAACUAAGUG